GAGAAAGAGAACAUCCUAAAGUUAUUUUUUACAAAAACAAACCUUAAGUUUGAUUUGUGAACCGAGUCAAAAGAGCGAUUCCUUCAAGAACUGAUCAGAUCACGAUACACUCCUCCCUCACAGUAGUUUAGUUUUCAGGAAUAUAAAUAUCUCCAUCAGUUCAGAAGAGAAGAGGAACCUCAGGAAGAGCUGAAAUCUGCUCAGAGACGGAGUUUAUUAAAGAGAGAAGAUGAGAGAUCCAGAUCCCUGCAGAAUCAAACACACUCAGGAACAAACAGAGUUGUUUGAAGAAAAUGAGAAUGGAGAGUUCAGUGAAGGCAAAACUGAAGAAAAAUCU